CCUAAUACAUGCAAGUCGAGCGGAAUGAUGAAGAAGCUUGCUUCUUCUGAUUUUAGCGGCGGACGGGUGAGUAACACGUGGGCAACCUACCUUGUAGAUUGGGAUAACUCCGGGAAACCGGGGCUAAUACCGAAUAAUCCAUUUUGCUUCAUGGCAAGAUGUUGAAAGGCGGCUUCGGCUGUCACUACGAGAUGGGCCCGCGGCGUAUUAGCUAGUUGGUAGGGUAAUGGCCUACCAAGGCGACGAUACGUAGCCGACCUGAGAGGGUGAUCGGCCACACUGGGACUGAGACACGGCCCAGACUCCUACGGGAGGCAGCAGUAGGGAAUCUUCCACAAUGGACGAAAGUCUGAUGGAGCAACGCCGCGUGAGUGAAGAAGGUUUUCGGAUCGUAAAACUCUGUUGUAAGGGAAGAACACGUACGAGAGUAACUGCUCGUACCUUGACGGUACCUUAUUAGAAAGCCACGGCUAACUACGUGCCAGCAGCCGCGGUAAUACGUAGGUGGCAAGCGUUGUCCGGAAUUAUUGGGCGUAAAGCGCGCGCAGGCGGUUCUUUAAGUCUGAUGUGAAAGCCCACGGCUCAACCGUGGAGGGUCAUUGGAAACUGGAGAACUUGAGUACAGAAGAGGAAAGCGGAA
rnacentral:rRNA from 1 species